rnacentral:tRNA from 1 species
GGGCAUGUAGCUCAGCUUGGAUAGAGCACUGUUGCGGCCGCAUAAUCGGCCGGCGCUUAGGGCGAUUUGCACCUUGGUAUGCAAAGCUUGAAAAUCAUUAUGAUUUUCAAGACUGCAUUUUCGAUGCAGUCACCUGUCAUUACGUCGGCUUAAAUGCAGCUGCGGUGUAGGCCUUCUAAGCCAGGGGUCGGGGGUUCAAAUCCCUCCAUGCUCG